GACGAACGCUGGCGGCGUGCUUAACACAUGCCAGUCGAACGAUGAACCCGGAGCUUGCUCUGGGGGAUUAGUGGCGAACGGGUGAGUAACACGUGAGUAACCUGCCCUGGACUCUGGGAUAAGCGUUGGAAACGACGUCUAAUACCGGAUAGGACCUUGGAUCGCAUGAUCUGGGGUGGAAAGUUUUUUCGGUCUGGGAUGGACUCGCGGCCUAUCAGCUUGUUGGUGAGGUAAUGGCUCACCAAGGCGUCGACGGGUAGCCGGCCUGAGAGGGUGACCGGCCACACUGGGACUGAGACACGGCCCAGACUCCUACGGGAGGCAGCAGUGGGGAAGAUUGCACAAUGGGCGAAAGCCUGAUGCAGCAACGCCGCGUGCGGGAUGACGGCCUUCGGGUUGUAAACCGCUUUUAGUAGGGAAGAAGGGCUUCGGCUUGACGGUACCUGCAGAAAAAGGACCGGCUAACUACGUG
rnacentral:rRNA from 1 species